GUAUAUUGGACAAUGGGGGGAACCCUGAUCCAGCCAUGCCGCGUGUGUGAAGAAGGCCUUUUGGUUGUAAAGUACUUUCAGCGAGGAGGAGGCUACUCUAGUUAAUACCUAGGGAUCGUGGACGUUACUCGCUGAAUAAGCCCCGGCCAACUCUGUGCCAGCAGCCGCGGUAAUACAGAGGGUGCAAGCGUUAAUCGGAUUUACUGGGCGUAAAGCGCGCGUAGGUGGCCAAUGAAGUCAAAUGUGAAAUCCCCGAGCUUAACUUGGGAAUUGCAUUCGAUACUGGUCGGCUAGAGUAUGGGAGAGGAUGGUAGAAUUCCAGGUGUAGCGGUGAAAUGCGUAGAGAUCUGGAGGAAUACCGAUGGCGAAGGCAGCCAUCUGGCCUAAUACUGACACUGAGGUGCGAAGGCAUGGGGAGCAAAC
rnacentral:rRNA from 1 species